GAAUCUUCCACAAUGGACGAAAGUCUGAUGGAGCAAUGCCGCGUGAGUGAAGAAGGUUUUCGGAUCGUAAAACUCUGUUGUGAGGGAAGAACAAGUACGAGAGUAACCGCUCGUACCUGGACGGUACCGCAUUAGAAAGCAACGGCUAAAUACGGGCCAGCCGCCGCGGUAAUACGUGGGUGGCAAGCGUUGUCCGGAAUUUUUGGGCGUAAAGCGCGCGCAGGCGGUCCUUUAAGUCUGAUGUGAAAUCCCACGGCUCAACCGUGGAAGGUCAUUGGAAACUGGGGGACUUGAGUACAGAAGAGGAAAGUGGAAUUCCAAGUGUAGCGGUGAAAUGCGUAGAGAUUUGGAGGAACACCAGUGGCGAAGGCGACUUUCUGGUCUGUAACUGACGCUGAGGCGCGAAAGCGUGGGGAGCAAACA
rnacentral:rRNA from 1 species